AAAGGAAAAGGACAAUACUGUGUUCAUGUGUUGGAUGUGCUCAUCCUACACAUGAACAGAGUAUUGACCUUUUCCUUA